AAAAAAUUCUUUGGGUUUUAAUAUUCUUUGCUUUGUGUAUUUGCAUAAGCUAGUCAGCAGGCAGAGCUCUCUUCUCUCAUGCUAAACAAACACUGAGCUGAUCUGUGCAGGCAGAAGUCGAGGGUAUUUAAGAGGAGCUGGUGUAGUGUGUGUGUGUGUGUCAGGACUGCAGCGUAUUAUGUGUGUGUGAAUCAGAGAAGGUUUGUUAGCCUGCGGGCGGUCCGGUCUGGGGACAGCAGGAAGUAUCUGCACUAUGCAUCUCGCCAGCUCACUAAGCCCUGUGAGUAUUCAUAAAGUUCUGAUCCAAGGAAAACAGAUUACAGAUCUUGUUCUCUUUCUUUGCCUCUGCCUGCCACAAUUAUUCCCCCUGUGCUAUUUGAGGUAAAAUCAUCCCUUUCGACACACACUUUGCCCUCGAUGGGAACUCAAAAUAACAUAGCGCGAUGCAAACCAGACCAACGUGCUGGAAAAAAUGGAAAGGGUGUGAAAAAGAACAGACAGAGGGAUGUAAAAAGAGAAGGGCACGGGAAUGAACGAAGACCUGGAGAAAGUGAAAGAGACGGGGGAAUGGAAGAACAAAGGACAGAAAUCCAACAAAGGCAAAUCACAGAGGUCCCAGUCUUCAGGACAGAAUGGCCUGCUUUAUGCAAGUAUACAGCAAUAACUAAAUACAGCAAGACCUCUGACCUCACCCCUAAUGAUAGUGUAAUGAGAGAAGAGGGCUCAUUGAUGGAUCCAUGUAGAAGAUUUGGGGUUCUACAUGAACACCAUCCUGCCCAUCUGUCAGAUGCCACUGAGCGACCUUUCCUGCAGAAAUCUACUCUUCUAUUUAUCUGGAAAAAGGGAGUGGAGUUUUUUCACGAUGUUCUUGUCUAACGGUAAAAGCAGGUAAGGAAUUCUCUGCAGCGGGUGAAGUGUUGAGAUGCAGGUCACAUUCGAAUGUACAGAAGAGUGGGUGAAUUCCAGGGUCCCCAGACAAUGGAGCCACUGUUGAGAUAAAGCUAUUUCACAUGGCCCGGGCGGGGCAGAGGGGAGGGGCCUGGAGGUGCAUUGACAGCUCAUGUCAUCCCACCCCUGUCUGCGUUUAUUUUUCAGAGUCAUAGAGUCAUUUCAGCAUGGUGGAGGCAGGAUGGUGAUGUUCGCUGACACACACAUACAGACACACAAACUCAAGCCUGACUUGAGUGCCAGAACCUAGCUGAUAUCCCACAACAAUCCAAUUGAAAUUUGUUGGUGUGGAAAUCCACCUCCAAAAAAAAUAAAAAACAGGUUAUGUUUUUUUUAGUAUUCA
ensembl:lncRNA